rnacentral:tRNA from 1 species
GUAUUUGAAGCUAAUGUAUUAAGCCAUGGUCUUGUAAACCAUAGAUAGAAAUCUUUCCUAAUACU